rnacentral:rRNA from 1 species
UACGAAGGGGGCUAGCGUUGCUCGGAAUCACUGGGCGUAAAGCGCACGUUAGGCGGAUCUUUAAGUCAGGGGUGAAAUCCCAAGGCUCAACCUUGGAACUGCCUUUGAUACUGGGGAUCUCGAGUCCGGAAGAGGUGAGUGGAACUGCGAGUGUAGAGGUGAAAAUUCGUAGAUAUUCGCAAGAACACCAGUGGCGAAGGCGGCUCACUGGUCCGGUACUGACGCUGAGGUGCGAAAGCGUGGGGAGCAAACAGG